rnacentral:rRNA from 1 species
UACUCUCAGCAACGGAUAUCUAGGCUCUCACAACGAUGAAGAACGCAGCGAAAUUGCGAUACGUGAUGUGAAUUGCAGAAUUCCGUGAAUCAUCGAAGUUUUGAACGCAACUUGUGCCCGAGGUUCAUCCCGAGGGCAUGCCUGCCUGAGCGUCC